rnacentral:rRNA from 1 species
UCCGGUUUGAACUCAGAUCAUGUGCGGGGGUAGAGGUCGAACAGACCUUGUGAAAAUAGCUUCUGCACUAUUUGUAGCCGCAAUUCAACAUCGAGGUCGCAAACAAUUAUUUUAAUAAGGGCUUAAAUAAUUAUAACGCUGUUAUCCCUAGAGUACCUUAUUCGUCUAAUUUAAUAAAGAUCAUUGUUAAUAUAAAUAGUCCUAUUUAAAUUUACCCCAAAUAAACUUG